rnacentral:rRNA from 1 species
ACGCUCGACACCUAGGAGGCAGCAGUGAGGAAUAUUGGUCAAUGGACGCAAGUCUGAACCAGCCAUGCCGCGUGCAGGAUGACGGCUCUAUGAGUUGUAAACUGCUUUUGUACGAGGGUAAACGCAGAUACGUGUAUCUGUCUGAAAGUAUCGUACGAAUAAGGAUCGGCUAACUCCGUGCCAACAGCCGCGGUAAUCUGAGCGGGCUGGCAAGGC